rnacentral:rRNA from 1 species
AGGAAUAUUGGGCAAUGCCCGCAAGGGUGACCCAGCAACGCCGCGUGGAGGAUGAAUGUCGUAAGAUUGUAAACUCCUGUUAGAGGGGAAGAAUAGUACCGGUUGGACCGGUAUAUGACUGUACCCUUAGAGAAAGCCCCGGCUAACUACGUGCCAGCAGCCGCGGUAAUACGUAGGGGGCAAGCGUUGUCCGGAUUUACUGGGUGUAAAGGGCGCGCAGGCGGGAUAAAAAGUCAGUGGUGAAAUCCUACAGCUUAACUGUAGAACUGCCUUUGAUACUUUUAUUCUUGAGUUCGGGAGAGAGAGACGGAAUUCCAGGUGUAGUGGUGAAAUACGUAGAUAUCUGGAAGAACACCAGUUGCGAAGGCGGUCUCUUGGUCCGACACUGACGCUGAGGCGCGAAAGCGUGGGGAGCAAACA